GAUGAACGCUGGCGGCGUGCCUAAUACAUGCAAGUCGAGCGAACGGACGAGAAGCUUGCUUCUCUGAUGUUAGCGGCGGACGGGUGAGUAACACGUGGAUAACCUACCUAUAAGACUGGGAUAACUUCGGGAAACCGUAGCUAAUACCGGAUAAUAUUUUGAACCGCAUGGUUCAAAAGUGAAAGACGGUCUUGCUGUCACUUAUAGAUGGAUCCGCGCUGCAUUAGCUAGUUGGUAAGGUAACGGCUUACCAAGGCAACGAUACAUAGCCGACCUGAGAGGGUGAUCGGCCACACUGGAACUGAGACACGGUCCAGACUCCUACGGGAGGCAGCAGUAGGGAAUCUUCCGCAAUGGGCGAAAGCCUGACGGAGCAACGCCGCGUGAGUGAUGAAGGUCUUCGGAUCGUAAAACUCUGUUAUUAGGGAAGAACAUAUGUGUAAGUAACUGUGCACAUCUUGACGGUACCUAAUCAGAAAGCCACGGCUAACUACGUGCCAGCAGCCGCGGUAAUACGUANGUGGCAAGCGUUAUCCGGAAUUAUUGGGCGUAAAGCGCGCGUAGGCGGUUUUUUAGUCUGAUGUGAAAGCCCACGGGCUCACCGUGGAGGGUCAUUGGAAACUGGAAAACUUGAGUGCAGAAGAGGAAAGUGGAAUUCCAUGUGUAGCGGUGAAAUGCGCAGAGAUAUGGAGGAACACCAGUGGCGAAGGCGACUUUCUGGUCUGUAACUGACGCUGAUGUGCGAAAGCGUGGGGAUCAAACAGGGUUAGAUACCCUGGUAGUCCACGCCGUAAACGAUGAGUGCUAAGUGUUAGGGGGUUUCCGCCCCUUAGUGCUGCAGCUAACGCAUUAAGCACUCCGCCUGGGGAGUACGACCGCAAGGUUGAAACUCAAAGGAAUUGACGGGGACCCGCACAAGCGGUGGAGCAUGUGGUUUAAUUCGAAGCAACGCGAAGAACCUUACCAAAUCUUGACAUCCUUUGACAACUCUAGAGAUAGAGCUUUCCCCUUCGGGGGACAAAGUGACAGGUGGUGCAUGGUUGUCGUCAGCUCGUGUCGUGAGAUGUUGGGUUAAGUCCCGCAACGAGCGCAACCCUUAAGCUUAGUUGCCAUCAUUAAGUUGGGCACUCUAAGUUGACUGCCGGUGACAAACCGGAGGAAGGUGGGGAUGACGUCAAAUCAUCAUGCCCCUUAUGAUUUGGGCUACACACGUGCUACAAUGGACAAUACAAAGGGCAGCGAAACCGUGAGGUCAAGCAAAUCCCAUAAAGUUGUUCUCAGUUCGGAUUGUAGUCUGCAACUCGACUACAUGAAGCUGGAAUCGCUAGUAAUCGUAGAUCAGCAUGCUACGGUGAAUACGUUCCCGGGUCU
rnacentral:rRNA from 1 species